rnacentral:rRNA from 1 species
AGCGAACGCUGGCGGCAGGCUUAACACAUGCAAGUCGAGCGCUCGUAGCAAUACGAGAGCGGCAGACGGGAGAGUAACACGUGGGAACGUACCCUUCGGUUCGGAAUAACCCAGGGAAACUUGGGCUAAUACCGGAUACGUCCGUAAGGAGAAAGAUUUAUCGCCGAGGGAUCGGCCCGCGUCCGAUUAGAUAGUUGGGGUGGUAAUGGCCCACCAAGGCGACGAUCGGUAGCUGGUCUGAGAGGAUGAGCAGCCUCACUGGGACUGAGACACGGCCCAGACUCCUACGGGAGGCAGCAGUGGGGAAUAUUGGACAAUGGGCGCAAGCCUGAUCCAGCCAUGCCGCGUGGGUGAUGAAGGCCUUAGGGUUGUAAAGCCCUUUCGGCGGGGAAGAUAAUGACGGUACCCGCAGAAGAAGCCCCGGCUAACUUCGUGCCAGCCGCCGCUGUAA